rnacentral:lncRNA from 1 species
AUGGAAAGACAUUGCAGUAACUGGAUCCAGGGAUAAAGCAAAUUGGUCCAACCAUCUAAACUCAAACCUUGCCUUGCUUAGUGCAUCAUCCCAUGCUUGUGCAUAGGGGUGACGCUUUGCCAAAUCAGCAGCAUGAGCAGCGAUUUUGUAGGAUAUCACACCUGUCUUAACAUCAUCCCUGUUAGGCAACCCAAGGUGCUCCUUUGGUGUUACAUAACAAAGAAGUGCGGUGCCAAGAGCCCCAAUGUUGGCAGCACCAAUGGCUGAGGUGAUGUGAUCAUAACCAGGUGCAAUAUCAGUUGUCAAUGGACCCAGCGUAUAGAAAGGUGCUUCGUUGCACCACUCCAGCUGUUUCUCCAUAUUUUCAGGAAUUUUAUGCAUCGGAAUAUGCCCAGGACCUUCAUUCAUCACC